AUCUUUCAGACGUACUUGAGACUCAGAAAAAAACAGCCCAAAAAGAGCCCCCGGGAUAUCAAAUGGAUGCUUAGCUCUCACAGUACUGGGAAUGCUCUCUCUAAGGGAAAUUGGUUUUACCUGAAGAGAGACCGUUAUUAGCUAACAGCAUAGCACUCCUUGCCUUAUUUGUCUCAUAAUUGCUUGGAUUGGUGGACCGUCUGAAUGACAGCGGGUUAAGUGGGUCAAUCCCCAGCGAUCUUGUAGCAUUCAGCCUCAACGUUGUGUUCCUAGGAUAGCUAUGAAAAGGAAAAGGAAGUCAAUAGCUUAUCCCACCAAAGUAGGCAACAAAGAUGAACACAUUGAACAAAUGGGCCCUGUUAUAACAGAUCUUCCAAAGUUUAUUUGUCAAAUCAUUCUACUAAAGCUCCCAACACGCAGCAUUCUCAUAUGCAAAUGUGUAUGCAAGACUUGGCGUGUGCUAAUUUCUGACCCGGAAUUUGCCAAGAUGCACUUUGCACAAGCAGAGGCCUAUCCCAUGGUCCGACCUUGGGGACCAACACGGGUGUCAAGAACCCUUUACUUGGUUGAACCUGAAGAUGACUUCAGUUUGGCUAUAAAGGACAAGGACUAUUUGUCCGAUUGUGACUAUGGCUCAUUGAAGUUUGACAAGUGUCAUUUCCGCAUGAAUCUUGCCAAAUAUAAAUUGCCAUUGCGGGAUGCUGAGAAGGUAAUGAAUAAUGACGAUAAUGUCAA